GACGAACGCUGGUGGCGUGCUUAACACAUGCAAGUCGAACGGAAAGGCCCUGCUUUUGUGGGGUGCUCGAGUGGCGAACGGGUGAGUAACACGUGAGUAACCUGCCCUUGACUUUGGGAUAACUUCAGGAAACUGGGGCUAAUACCGGAUAGGAGCUCCUGCUGCAUGGUGGGGGUUGGAAAGUUUCGGCGGUUGGGGAUGGACUCGCGGCUUAUCAGCUUGUUGGUGGGGUAGUGGCUUACCAAGGCUUUGACGGGUAGCCGGCCUGAGAGGGUGACCGGCCACAUUGGGACUGAGAUACGGCCCAGACUCCUACGGGAGGCAGCAGUGGGGAAUAUUGCACAAUGGGCGGAAGCCUGAUGCAGCAACGCCGCGUGCGGGAUGACGGCCUUCGGGUUGUAAACCGCUUUCGCCUGUGACGAAGCGUGAGUGACGGUAAUGGGUAAAGAAGCACCGGCUAACUACGUGCCAGCAGCCGCGGUGAUACGUAGGGUGCGAGCGUUGUCCGGAUUUAUUGGGCGUAAAGGGCUCGUAGGUGGUUGAUCGCGUCGGAAGUGUAAUCUUGGGGCUUAACCCUGAGCGUGCUUUCGAUACGGGUUGACUUGAGGAAGGUAGGGGAGAAUGGAAUUCCUGGUGGAGCGGUGGAAUGCGCAGAAUCAGGAGGAACACCAGUGGCGAAGGCGGUUCUCUGGGCCUUUCCUGACGCUGAGGAGCGAAAGCGUGGGGAGCGAACAGGCUUAGAUACCCUGGUAGUCCACGCUGUAAACGGUGGGUACUAGGUGUGGGGUCCAUUCCACGGGUUCCGUGCCGUAGCUAACGCUUUAAGUACCCCGCCUGGGGAGUACGGCCGCAAGGCUAAAACUCAAAGGAAUUGACGGGGCCCCGCACAAGCGGCGGAGCAUGCGGAUUAAUUCGAUGCAACGCGUAGAACCUUACCUGGGUUUGACAUGGAUCGGGAGUGCUCAGAGAUGGGUGUGCCUCUUUUGGGGUCGGUUCACAGGUGGUGCAUGGCUGUCGUCAGCUCGUGUCGUGAGAUGUUGGGUUAAGUCCCGCAACGAGCGCAACCCUUGUUCACUGUUGCCAGCACGUUAUGGUGGGGACUCAGUGGAGACCGCCGGGGUCAACUCGGAGGAAGGUGGGGAUGACGUCAAGUCAUCAUGCCCCUUAUGUCCAGGGCUUCACGCAUGCUACAAUGGCUGGUACAGAGAGUGGCGAGACUGUGAGGGUGAGCGAAUCUCGGAAAGCCGGUCUCAGUUCGGAUUGGGGUCUGCAACUCGACCUCAUGAAGUCGGAGUCGCUAGUAAUCGCAGAUCAGCAACGCUGCGGUGAAUACGUUCCCGGG
rnacentral:rRNA from 1 species